rnacentral:piRNA from 1 species
UCAGUCGUUGAGACGGCCCCCUCUUAUCC